UGGGCCCGGACUGGCAGCAGCUCAGUGGCAUGGGACCAGGACGUCAGCGGCAGCGGAAAGGAGAGGGCGCGCUGCUGGCCGCGGCUUUUCCUGGGCCGGUGCUGCGAAGUGGGCGAAGAGAGAGGGGAGAAAGGCUGGGCUGGGGAAAACGGCCGUGCUGGAGAAAGGGCAGGGGCAGGCCGAGAGGGCAGGGGAGGAGUGGGCCUUCGGGCCAGAAUCAGGUGGGGAGAGUUUUGGUUUGUUUGUUUUUUUCCUUUUUCUUUUAUUCCAAAGCCAUUUGAAACUCUUUUAAAAUUCCUUUUAAACCAUUUGAAUUUUGAGUUCAAAAACACUCAACACAAU
rnacentral:lncRNA from 1 species